AAUGGAGGCCGAUUGGGUUUUGAGGAGUCUUCUUUGUGCAUCCUGAGCCCUGACUGUGAGCUUUAUAUUUGUGAUGGUGACGACGACACCAGCACAGACAGCUGUCGUGAUUACCAAGAUUUUAACACAGAGGAAGACUACCUCCCAAUCCGCUGGAGAUCAAAUAAACUCAACAUGACCCGACUCGAUCCUCCGCCUCACCGACCGCACACACGAGCUUGGAUGGAUGACGCUCGGAGUCAAGACGGAUUUAGCAGACGCUCAGGUUUGAAAGAAGACCGGGACAGACGAGAAAGUGGUUACUUUUCCCUCGGCAGAGCUGCGGGAGUUCGUUCAGUUCGUGAUAGCAGCCCACCUGGUCCUUUUCGCCAUUUUGAGAAAGGCCACCCCAUCUUCAAUAACAGAAGCAUCGAGCCCAAAGAUACUAUUCCCUUCAGAAACCCUAUCCUUGGUGUGGCCUCUCAUAGACAGAUACCAGAGGCUUUUGAUGAUGAACUGCUUAUGGAAAUUCAUCCUCCUGAUCCUUAUGAAGUUGCAGUUGAGGUUGAGGCUCAAGUCGGCCCUCGCUCUCCAAGUCCUACUCCAUUCAAGCAAGCCGAGUCACUGGUCUCAAGGAGCCAAAAGGUGGUUGGGAACUCAUUCAACCGAGGUAGCCCCACGUCUCACCUUUCAUCUCAUAAACAGUCAGGCCGGUUUGAGUUCUCCAGGCCAGGCUCAGCUCUGCAGUCUCGCUCUUCUUCCCCCUCACGAGGAAGCUUGGUACCCUUUAGGCGCACUGAAUCCAGCAUUUCCCUUAGCAGACGUGACAUUGACAGCAGAGGGUGGUCGCAGGGGGCAAGUGGAGGAUACAAAGGGACACCGCAAGGCACAUCUGGACGACGUGGUGUGUCAGGGACUCUUCCAAGAAAUUUUAAAUCCUCUACUGGUUCAGUCAAAACACAAUCCAACACAGUUUCGGAUUUUAGAGGUGCCUUACGGAAAACAGAGUUAAACCGUUCCACAAAUGAACGAAGUGAGAUCAGAAACUCAUCUCCCCCAAGGAGAGACUACAAUUCUUAUGGCCAAAUGUCUCUUAAAAAAAGUGAAGUUACACGUAGCAUAUCGCGUGGA
rnacentral:lncRNA from 1 species